GGCGAUAUGGUGGAAUUGGUAGACACGUCGGACUCAAAAUCCGAUUCUGGCAACAGAGUGACAGUUCGAGUCUGUCUAUCGCUA
rnacentral:tRNA from 1 species